UCCUGGCUAGGACGAACGCUGGCGGCGUGCCUAACACAUGCAAGUCGAGCGAGGAGAUCCUUCGGGAUGAUCCUAGCGGCGGACGGGUGAGUAACACGUGGGCAACCUGCCUCAUAGAGAGGAAUAGCCUUCCGAAAGGGAGAUUAAUACCUCAUAACAUUGCAGUUUCGCAUGGAACAGCAAUUAAAGGAGUAAUCCGCUAUGAGAUGGGCCCGCGGCGCAUUAGCUAGUUGGUGAGGUAACGGCUCACCAAGGCGACGAUGCGUAGCCGACCUGAGAGGGUGAUCGGCCACAUUGGGACUGAGACACGGCCCAGACUCCUACGGGAGGCAGCAGUGGGGAAUAUUGCACAAUGGGGGAAACCCUGAUGCCAGCAACGCCGCGUGAGUGAUGACGGCCUUCGGGUUGUAAAGCUCUGUCUUCAGGGACGAUAAUGACGGUACCUGAGGAGGAAGCCACGGCUAACUACGUGCCAGCCGCCGC
rnacentral:rRNA from 1 species